rnacentral:rRNA from 1 species
CCUACGGGAGGCAGUAGUGGGGAAUAUUGGGCAAUGGGCGCAAGCCUGACCCAGCAACGCCGCGUGAAGGAAGAAGGCUUUCGGGUUGUAAACUUCUUUUGUCAGGGAAGAGUAGAAGACGGUACCUGACGAAUAAGCCACGGCUAACUACGUGCCAGCAGCUGCGGUAAUACGUAGGUGGCAAGCGUUGUCCGGAUUUACUGGGUGUAAAGGGCGUGUAGCCGGGUUGACAAGUCAGAUGUGAAAUCCUGCGGCUUAACCGCAGAACUGCAUUUGAAACUGUUAAUCUUGAGUACUGGAGAGGCAGAUGGAAUUCCUAGUGUAGCGGUGAAAUGCGUAGAUAUUAGGAGGAACACCAGUGGCGAAGGCGGUCUGCUGGACAGCAACUGACGGUGAGGCGCGAAAGCGUGGGGAGCAAACAGGAUUAGAUACCCCUGUAGUC